rnacentral:rRNA from 1 species
GACGAGCGCUGGCGGCGUGCCUAAUACAUGCAAGUCGAGCGCAGGAAACUGACGGAACUCUUCGGAGGGGAGGCAGUGGAAUGAGCGGCGGACGGGUGAGUAACACGUAAGGAACCUGCCUCAAGGAUUGGGAUAACUCCGAGAAAUCGGAGCUAAUACCGGAUAGUUCAACGGACCGCAUGGCCCGCUGAUGAAAGGCGCUCCGGCGUCACCUUGAGAUGGCCUUGCGGUGCAUUAGCUAGUUGGUGGGGUAACGGCCCACCAAGGCGACGAUGCAUAGCCGACCUGAGAGGGUGAUCGGCCACACUGGGACUGAGACACGGCCCAGACUCCUACGGGAGGCAGCAGUAGGGAAUCUUCCACAAUGGACGAAAGUCUGAUGGAGCAACGCCGCGUGAGUGAUGAAGGUUUUCGGAUCGUAAAACUCUGUUGUAAGGGAAGAACACGUACGAGAGGAAAUGCUCGUACCUUGACGGUACCUUACGAGAAAGCCACGGCUAACUACGUGCCAGCAGCCGCCGUAA